rnacentral:rRNA from 1 species
CGCGUAGGCGGCCCGGUAAGUCAAAGGUGAAAUCCCUCGGCUCAACUGAGGAACUGCCUUUGAAACUGUCGGGCUUGAGGCCGGGAGGGGGUAGCGGAAUUCCCAGUGUAGCGGUGAAAUGCGUAGAUAUUGGGAGGAACACCGGUGGCGAAGGCGGCUACCUGGACCGGUUCUGACGCUGAUGCGCGAAAGCGUGGGUAGCAAAACA